CUACGGGCCGCUCCAGUGGGGAAUAUUGGACAAUGGGGGAAACCCUGAUCCAGCAAUGCCGCGUGUGUGAAGAAGGCCUGCGGGUUGUAAAGCACUUUCGGUUGGGAGGACUGCUUCUAGCACUAAUAUUGUUGGAAGUUGACGUUACCUUCAGAAGAAGCACCGGCUAACUCCGUGCCAGCAGCCGCGGUAAUACGGAGGGUGCAAGCGUGAAUCGGAAUUACUGGGCGUAAAGCGCGCGUAGGCGGCUAGAUCAGUCGGGUGUGAAAGCCCCGGGCUUAACCUGGGAACUGCAUCCGAUACUGUCUAGCUUGAGUACAGGAGAGGAGAGUGGAAUUCCACAUGUAGCGGUGACAUGCGUAGAUAUGUGGAGGAACACCAAUGGCGAAGGCAGCUCUCUGGCCUGAUACUGACGCUGAGGUGCGAAAGCGUGGGGAGCAAACAGGAUUAGAUACCCUAGUAGUC
rnacentral:rRNA from 1 species